CGUCCGCUGAGCUCUCAGGCCGCAAGGAUCAAGCCCCACACGGAGCACAAAGGCAGCCUCCAUGCCUGAUGUGGGCUUAAACACAAGACCCUGAGAUCAAGAGCUGCAUGCUCUGUUGAUUGAAUCAGGCAGGCAUCCCAGGAAGUUUGUAUCUUUUGACCAGGUAGAGAAAGUCACCAAAGAGGGGCCAUUCCUGCAUAAGCACGUGAUGGGCCAAAUCUGGAGAUGACAUUUCCUUGUCUAAGUUCGAGACCCCAAGUCAGAGGGUGAUUUACACGUCAGUUACCGCGUGGUGGUCAAUGUUCCAGGCUGUCAGCUCGGCCCCGCCCUGCUCUUCUCGAACAAGCACCAUCUGAGCUCCAGCUACAUGGGGCUUUGAAAGCGUUGCCUUGCCUCACAGUUCGUUCAGGACAAAGAACAUUACCCCAGAAAUCAA
rnacentral:lncRNA from 1 species